GUCCACGCCGUAAACGAUGGAUGCUAGCCGUUGGCGGGUUUACUCGUCAGUGGCGCAGCUAACGCAUUAAGCAUCCCGCCUGGGGAGUACGGUCGCAAGAUUAAAACUCAAAGGAAUUGACGGGGGCCCGCACAAGCGGUGGAGCAUGUGGUUCAAUUCGAAGCAACGCGCAGAACCUUACCAACCUUUGACAUGUCCCGUAUGGGUUCCAGAGAUGGGAUCCUUCAGUUCGGCUGGCGGGAACACAGGUGCUGCAUGGCUGUCGU
rnacentral:rRNA from 1 species